rnacentral:rRNA from 1 species
UACGUAGGGGGCAAGCGUUGUCCGGAUUUAUUGGGCGUAAAGCGCGCGUAGGCGGCGCGGUAUGUCGUGCGUGAAAUCUCCCGGCUUAACUGGGAGGGGCCGUGCGAAACUGCCGGGCUUGAGGUCGGAAGGGGAAAGUGGAAUUCCGGGUGUAGUGGUGGAAUACGUAGAUAUCCGGAGGAGCACCAGCGGCGAAGGCGGCUUUCUGGUCCGAUACUGACGCUGAGGUGCGAAAGCGUGGGGAGCGAUCCGG